rnacentral:snRNA from 1 species
UUGGGGAUCUUUGUGACCUG